rnacentral:rRNA from 1 species
GACGAACGCUGGCGGCGUGCUUAACACAUGCAAGUCGAACGGAAAGGCCCUGCUUUUGUGGGGUGCUCGAGUGGCGAACGGGUGAGUAACACGUGAGUAACCUGCCCUUGACUUUGGGAUAACUUCAGGAAACUGGGGCUAAUACCGGAUAGGAGCUCCUGCUGCAUGGUGGGGGUUGGAAAGUUUCGGCGGUUGGGGAUGGACUCGCGGCUUAUCAGCUUGUUGGUGGGGUAGUGGCUUACCAAGGCUUUGACGGGUAGCCGGCCUGAGAGGGUGACCGGCCACAGUGGGACUGCGAUACGGCCCAGACUCCUACGGGAGGCAGCAGUGGGGAAUAUUGCACAAUGGGCGGAAGCCUGAUGCAGCAACGCCGCGUGCGGGAUGACGGCCUUCGGGUUGUAAACCGCUUUCGCCUGUGACGAAGCGUGAGUGACGGUAAUGGGUAAAGAAGCACCGGCUAACUACGUG